AUCAAGUCAGGAUGCUAUCCUCAUAAUUUAAUGUCAUGAACAGUACAAAUAAAGCUUUCAAUGACAUCUAAACAGAACAUUUUCUUUUCUCUUCCCUAAAACCAUCAUUCCAUAAAGGUCUAGAUUUCCCCAACCUGUCAGUCAUUACAGCUACAAGCUGCCCAAGCACAUUUUAAAGCCAUUGAGUGGCUAAUUUUCCAAUAUAGAUUUAAAAGAUGUGAGACAGCUAUGGUUGUGGUCUCUCUGGCUCCUACUACACAAAGCAGAGUUCUGAAGUGCAUGAGGAUUUCUUUUGCUGAUGCCAAAUAAACAAGGAAUCCAAGGAAUCAAAAAAGGCCAAAAUUGGAUACACAAUGAGGCAGAGGAAGGCAGUAAGCAGACAAGUGUGAGUGGUAAAUACUGUUGAUUGCCACCUUUUGUGUGUUUUUUUUUUUUCCUUCCUAACAGAAAAAAAAAAUAGUACACAGUUCACAUAUUACAUUUUCAGCGUCUUUUGCAGCUAGAUGUGGCUUUGUGAUUAAAGCCUGAUCAAUAAAAUGAAGGCAGAAUUCUGAGGAUCUCCAGAGAAACAUUGUGCAAUGCUUCUCUUCUCUGAGGCAAAUAACCUUUAUCUUGCUUAAGCCACUAUUAUUUUAGGCUACUUUUUUUUUUAUCAAAACAUAAUCCUAACAUAUCCAAUGAAUCUGGAAAUCUUUAAUUAAUGUCUAAUAAUAAAAAUGUUAAAGAUAGAUGCAUUAAUUGGAAGGGAAUGGAUAAAUGGAAAGAAGAUUAAAGAAGGAAAGAUGGAUAGCAUCCUUGCAAUUGAAAAUCAUCUUCCUCAAAAGAAAAACAAAACAAAAACACAUGUUACAGCAGAGUUUCAGUUAGUUUGUCUAAGGUGAUUAACCUAAAGGGAAAUUAUCAUGAUCUGGUACUUCAAACUAGAUACACACUUAGAUAAUUAGAUACCUACCUCAUCCACUAAACUCCUGAACAUAAUGAGUAAAUGACUUGAACUUUCUCUAUCUUACUUUUUUAAUGAACAUAAUAAACCUUACCUUCCAAGAUUAUCUAAGCAUUACUUAGGGCAUCACCAAAAAUAUUUUACUAACAUCCUCACAGACUUUCUUGAAUCUCUUGUCAACCAAAUUCUUUUUGGCCAAAAUUAUCACCUUUCAUGCCCUGACCCUGAAAUGAAACAUAGAAUUCAAUCACCAACACAAAUUCCCAUAAAAAUAACAAGCAGAAUAACUCAAAGGCUUCAAAAUGUCUGAAAGGUCUGGCCUACCAUGUCUUGUGAUCCAUGCUUCUUUGACUGAUGGAAGAAAGUUGUGGCUUUAAAAUCCUUAUUCAGUUCCAAAAUUAUUUAACUUUUUGGAACUCCUAUUUUCUCAUUGGUAAAAUGUUACACUUUUUUUCAAAGUGUCUUUUAAAAUUUAGAAGAUAUUUAUUCAUCCAUUUAAUAACUAUUUAUCCUAAUACACUCUAGGUUUUCUUCAGUCUCUGGGAUCCAGAAGUAGAUAAAACAAAAUCCCUUCCCUAAUGGAUCUUAUGCUCUAGUAGGGAAAAUU